rnacentral:rRNA from 1 species
GACGAACGCUGGCGGCGUGCUUAACACAUGCAAGUCGAACGGUAAGGCCCUGCUUUUGUGGGGUGCUCGAGUGGCGAACGGGUGAGUAACACGUGAGUAACCUGCCCUUGACUUUGGGAUAACUUCAGGAAACUGGGGCUAAUACCGGAUAGGAGCUCCUGCUGCAUGGUGGGGGUUGGAAAGUUUCGGCGGUUGGGGAUGGACUCGCGGCUUAUCAGCUUGUUGGUGGGGUAGUGGCUUACCAAGGCUUUGACGGGUAGCCGGCCUGAGAGGGUGACCGGCCACAUUGGGACUGAGAUACGGCCCAGACUCCUACGGGAGGCAGCAGUGGGGAAUAUUGCACAAUGGGCGGAAGCCUGAUGCAGCAACGCCGCGUGCGGGAUGACGGCCUUCGGGUUGUAAACCGCUUUCGCCUGUGACGAGGCGUGAGUGACGGUAAUGGGUAAAGAAGCACCGGCUAACUACGUGCCAGCAGCCGCGGUGAUACGUAGGGUGCGAGCGUUGUCCGGAUUUAUUGGGCGUAAAGGGCUCGUAGGUGGUUGAUCGCGUCGGAAGUGUAAUCUUGGGGCUUAACCCUGAGCGUGCUUUCGAUACGGGUUGACUUGAGGAAGGUAGGGGAGAAUGGAAUUCCUGGUGGAGCGGUGGAAUGCGCAGAUAUCAGGAGGAACACCAGUGGCGAAGGCGGUUCUCUGGGCCUUUCCUGACGCUGAGGAGCGAAAGCGUGGGGAGCGAACAGGCUUAGAUACCCUGGUAGUCCACGCUGUAAACGGUGGGUACUAGGUGUGGGGUCCAUUCCACGGGUUCCGUGCCGUAGCUAACGCUUUAAGUACCCCGCCUGGGGAGUACGGCCGCAAGGCUAAAACUCAAAGGAAUUGACGGGGCCCCGCACAAGCGGCGGAGCAUGCGGAUUAAUUCGAUGCAACGCGUAGAACCUUACCUGGGUUUGACAUGGAUCGGGAGUGCUCAGAGAUGGGUGUGCCUCUUUUGGGGUCGGUUCACAGGUGGUGCAUGGCUGUCGUCAGCUCGUGUCGUGAGAUGUUGGGUUAAGUCCCGCAACGAGCGCAACCCUUGUUCACUGUUGCCAGCACGUUAUGGUGGGGACUCAGUGGAGACCGCCGGGGUCAACUCGGAGGAAGGUGGGGAUGACGUCAAGUCAUCAUGCCCCUUAUGUCCAGGGCUUCACGCAUGCUACAAUGGCUGGUACAGAGAGUGGCGAGCCUGUGAGGGUGAGCGAAUCUCGGAAAGCCGGUCUCAGUUCGGAUUGGGGUCUGCAACUCGACCUCAUGAAGUCGGAGUCGCUAGUAAUCGCAGAUCAGCAACGCUGCGGUGAAUACGUUCCCGGG